UAUAAGAAGCUAUAUCCCCGAUGGAUUUUUGAGCUCAGGUUGGUAUUGCUCUUUGCUGUAUUAUCAAAGUUUUUAAUUUGCGUUGGUUGAAUUUAUAUUGAAGUAAUUAUGCAAUGAAUAUUGAAAUAGGUAUCCUAUAAUGAAAUGCAUAUACAUAUAUGAUGCACAUGAAGAGGGCAAGAGAUUAUUAUAAGGGUUUUUUCCUUUCUUGCCUAAAAGAGUAGCUGCAUAGGCAAGAUGAAGCAAUUAACAAACAUCCAGUUCAGGAAACUGGAUGGAAUCAAGUUUAGUAGGAAUUGUCUAAUUUUGUUGAUAUCAACAAAGGGAUUUACAAAGAGGUGCAUUCACUACCUGUUUAGGUGGUUACUGCUUUUAGUCUGAGACACCAUAUCUCUUUCUUACAAUGCAACUAGUUUGUGGUUUUGCAUAGAUGGCCACAUGGCCCAACUAAUUUCAGGGUGCUUGUUUUUGUCAUAGUUCUUUUGUCGAUUAAGAGAGUUUUGUGAAAUUAUGUGACAUUUCAUUAAUGUUUUUAUUUGUUCUUUAUUAUGAAU
rnacentral:misc_RNA from 1 species